GUUCCUUUAACCCAAACCGUUCUACCAUAAGUAUGAAGAAGCACAGUGGUUUGCAUACUUCAUAAUAAAAUUUUGUAAGGAAGCACAUCGUGUUUUGCAGUUCACAAUGAGAGUUAAUCCACAGCUUUUGUUAUGAGGGAUUCUGGAUGCCCAUAAAUACAGGCAGCGCUGCUAGGGUUUUCCUGUGUGAACAACUUACUGGUGUCAUUGUACAUGAAGGACUUAAGCAUGUAGAAUCGUGUAAGAAGAGCAACUCUCAAGCACUGGAAAAGAGACAGCUUGCAUUAACAUUUAGAAAUGCCUGCUUACCUUGUCAACUUACUGACAGAGGAAUCUAGAAACUACCUUGGACACUGCUUUAUUCAUAUGGAGUUAUAAAAUUGAACACAGCAAUACAUGGGAUUUCCACAGUAUCUUUCCAAGUGAAUUAUAAAGUCUGAGUAGACCUUAUCAUGCUGCUUAUAUGUGUGAUGCAUAUACAGUUUCACCUGCCAUUCCAUGUCCUACAAAAGAUGCUUUAAAAUCUAAAGUUAACAUCUGUGUCCUUUGCAAUGAAUAUGUGAAAAUUACCAGUAAUUAUCAGAUACUUCGAAGUUGUCAGUGAACAAAUCUUCUGAAGGUAAAUGCUUCAGACAUAUGCUACUGCUUUGUAAAAAGAAUGACUAAGUUGUUUUAGUGAAGGGAGAAGCUCUGAGUGUACCAUGUGCCUUUGAGAAACAAAAUACAACCUGAACACCAAGGAUACAAGUGGAAUCAUUGUCCAACAGUUUUAUACAGCUGAAAAACAUUCGGAGUAAAGAAAAGAGCAGGAAAAAACAAUAAAAAGGAGUCCAGGAAAAGUCAGUUUUUGAUGGGAAGUACAAGAAAGCAAUAUGUGGUGGAGAAUUCUGUGACUUCCUUUUUGUGUCUUCUAGCAGUGCAGAUGUUUCACCAAAAAGAUAGUAUGGCACAAAAAUGGCUCUGUGCAGCUUAAGUUGCAGUGUAAUAACUUCAAACCAAUUUACUGGGAUAUCAGCAGUUGAGACAAGGAUGUGAACUGUGCAUGAGUCAGAUAAAGGACAAAAAUGAAAAUCUUAGUUACAAAGAGUGCAAUUACAGAAAGACAGAGGGAGUAUUUUAAUGAUCUUUUUAAUGGUGAAAUGGAUAAAGGCAAGCAAACAGCAAUUUUCCAGCCAGCUGAGCCAUUUGUCGAAGAACCAAGAGGCGAGCAGAACACCCAGGAAUAAUCGAGCACCAGCGAUACAAAGGAAUCUUCAGCAUACUAAAAGAGUGCAUCUACUAUUAUUCCAAGCGCAUGAAUGGUAUGAAGUCUGGAGCUCUGGCAUAGAGACACUGCAGAAACCAAAGCUCAGGAUGGGUACUUUGGAGAGGACACCUCAGUCAGAUACAUGGUCUGUAACACCACUAAGGCUCAGUCCCUGCCCUGUGAAGGCAGGUCAUGCCAGGGUGUCGCUGGCCCAGAAUCUAAAGAGCAUCUAACCAGGAGAAGUCAUUCUUCAAACACGAAUCCCAGAAUGAGCCAUUGCGUUCUAUAAGAUCUAUGAAUUAUUCAUCAGCUCUGAUUUAACAUUCAUCCUGCUGCUGAGGCUAAAGCCAGCCAUAUAUUUGCUGGUAUAAAAACCAAUUUGCAUUAGAGUGGAUAAUAAUGCAAAUUGUUAUUUUAUCCUUAACUGACAAUAUUAUUACCAUUAUAACUUUACAUACAGAUAGAAAUCGUAUCACUUUGUACUUUGAUGUCCCCUGAGACCAAAUAGUCAUUCUUGUAAAGUUGUGUUACGUAUAUAUGUAAGUGUGUGUGUGUGAUUUUAUAUGUAUCUGCAUAAUCAUACAGAGCAGAAACUCUACCUUUGGAUUUUGAACAAUACCAGAGAGGUAAAGUAAAAGGACUUGUACAAAUAACAAUAUAUUCAGGUAGGUAGUAUUGCAUUAUACUUCUGGCUGUAUGCUGGGCAAUCCUUCAUGUCUGCUUUUCUUUCUUUCUCCUUUCAUUUUUCAGCAUGACUUUUCCUUAUGCAGUACACACUGUGCAUUCAUUAUCUUCCUUUUUUCAUCUGCAAACGUUAGAAAUUAUUUUCUUUGACUUUUUCCCUUUGUUUUUGCAGAGCAGUUGAAUCCAUUGACUUUGGAGGAUAAUAAUCUGCAGUGGCCAGCUCUGUCUGGAAUACUGAACCUAUAAGUCAAUUUAAUAGACCGGUGGUAUUAAUUAUUUCAGCAUUUUUUCCUAGCCCAAUGUUGCAGCUUUCAUUUAAUUAGAUAUUUUUUUUAGUCCCCUGUAAUUAUGUAGGACAGCAGCAACAUGGGUUAUGUAACCUACAGGACAAGUUCUUUUUACUUUCCAAGUAAUUAGUGCUUUGUUUCUACAGUGUAAAGGGUCAAAUUCUCACCCCCAGGGCCAGUAGGCUGACUACAGAAGGCCCUAAAGGCAUUUCAGUUGCAUUGCAGCUCCAAGUGCUGGUUCAUCCCCUUGAAUAGAGCUUUGCCAGUUUUGGCCUGUUUCAUCAUCUCGUGGGACCAAAGGGCAAAAUUAACUCUCUGCAGUUUGCCCAUCUGGACUGUGUUGCCUAUAUCCUCUUCCUUAGCUCCUCUGGAAAGCUUGUAGAAGUCCAUGAAACAAAGGUCUGAAAUAGAGCAAACCCUCACUAGAACCAGGUAGAGGAAUAAUGCUUCUUUCUGGACUCAGCCCAGGAGCUGACUGCUGUCAGCCCUCACAGAUCACAGUGGGAGCUGCUGCUUUGGUACUGCUGGUGGGAGACAGCACCACUUCCCAUGUACAGAUAUCAACACUGGAAAAUAAACUCUUCUUUGGAUCACUUACAUUCCUUCUGUCACAGACUGGAUGUUCACAUACGCGUCAUGGACAUUGCCAGUUGUCACAUCUGAAGGCUGACACACAACUGGGGAAAAUGAAGAUGAGAUGAGAUUUGAAGAUCCAAAUCCCUGCCAGCAAUGGGAAAAGCAGCAACAGAAGAUCCGUAAGGAAUGAUGAAUACACGCCCCCCCCCUUCUCUGUAUUGUUUUCCCGCUGGCAGAGAAGUUUUUUCCUCUUCCAGACACACUUUGUUCAGAUUGUUGGGAAUAAUAAUUUGCCUGCCCAUAGCAAGGUUUCCUCAACAGUGGUUCAGCUGUACCUCGAUAUUGGAACUUACUCCAUUUAGAAAAUCUCUGGAAAAUGGAAGAGUGAAUUCACAGUAAAGCUUUAGGAAGUUCUUUGUCACUAUCAACACUUCGGAAUCUGGGUGCUGCCAAGAGAUGUGGGCUGCUGUUUUCCAUGUUUACCAUCAUACUUAAAGGCCCUGUCCAAUUAGGAAUAUGGGAAACAACAGUUUUGCUGCACCCUGUUGUAUCACUGAAAAGACGCAUAAAUAUAAAUCCCAUCUGCAGGUACAGCAUCCUGAGUGCUGUGCAUUUCCAAACCCCUCCAGCAGCUGUGCUUUAUAU